GAAGAAUAUGCGAGAGGAUCGGGGCACGGACGCGUACGAGUUGCUGAGACAAAAGCGAGUGGAAAAUGGAAACAAGGAAAGAUGAAGAGGCUACGAUUCAAUUUCAUUUUACCUUGUGUUUCCGUCUUCUUGUACCAUCCUUUUCGUUCUCCCAAUGCGAACACAGCAGACGAGGGAGCAAGGGAAAAAGACAAGUUAAGAGGGUGAGGAGGAGGAAAAAGAGAAGGGAUGAGCGGCAUGGGAGUUUCGCUCGAAAGCUCGCAGCUAAUACUUUCCUCCCCGCAACGUUUCCAGCAGGAUGAAGAGUCGGUCUUUGCCGGUGGCUGCUGCUGGUGCUGUCGCGAGGGUCGAGAGGAACGGGAGGAAGAAGCGGGUGGAAAAAGCAGGCUCGAGGAGCACAGGGAGAAGGCGGUGGCUCUCCGAGGAGUAAAGGGGGACGAGGAGCUAUAGCUUAUACUCGGGAUAACUAUUUGGGACCACCACCAGGAGAGAGGAAUUAUCUAGAAUAACUCUGGAUGAUAAGUUUUAGAUAUAGCUAAGGUCGAGAUCUCAAAAGAUCCCCGUCCCUUAGAUGUUUGCACGCAGCGUGCCGUAAUACACGUUUGAGUAUGUGGUGUGUCUGUGUGUGUAUGUGAAUGUCUAGAGGAGAGAAAAUUAUGAGCCAAUAAAGGUUUCACGAGGUCGACCGAAAGAAGAUAGAGCACGUUGCGCCGGGUCCGUCGGAACGACGCAAUCUACGACUUCUUGCUUCUCUAACGACGCGAACGUGGAAUAACCGUGUAUUUCUCUUUUCCCUAAAUAUUCGAUCCUAAACCCAAGUAGUAUAGUCUGUGAGUAUCGAUCACGUUUAACGUCCCCUUUCUCAAAGGUUUCAAAAUAAAAAUAAUCAAACUCUCUGAAAAAUAAUAACUCUCUCUCUCUCUCGAUGAUUAUUGCGAUAACGAUCGAGUAGUCCUUUGAGUAGUAGUCCUUUUAGGUAGUCCAAUUAGGUGAUCAUUAAUUAUUAUUACAUGGAAGAUCGUCGAGUUAUUUACACGUGUGCCGAUGUCCUCGAUGUACUCUUUCCGUUCACGUGACCACCAGGUUCAGGGAAAAGAGGGUCAAACGAGAAAGCUAACCCUCAUUAGGCACCGUAUAUCAGGACAAAGUCGCGUGGCAAUGACGUGUAAUUAUUACGCGUCGAGUAUUACUUGCAUAUUACCAACAGAGAAUAACGUUCGGCGAACCUAUUAAAUACAGCAGAAAUGUACGUAAGGUAAGUCUUUAAGAUAACUCGGCAAUUUUAUUUCAGGUAGGUGUGACACGUUAGGAUAUAACUGAUUCAUUGCGCGAAUGUUCCCACGAACGAAUAGAAUGAACGAUCAUUUGUUCGAAUAAAACGACAAAAUUAUAGGUACCCAACUACCUAUCCUUUAACUUUGUUCUUUACUUUUUACAAACGUACAAAACCCAAUCGAAUUCGGACUUUGAUUGUAGAUCAAAGAUCAAUUAGAAAGUUAAUGUACCUAGACAUUAGCUGUUCGCACGACGGAUACGUUUGGAAGAGUGAUAAUUAUUUGAAACACUUUUAUUAAGCGAAAUCAAGCGAGUCGAGAGAGAGAGGGUGGGUAGGGAGGUGGAGGGGAAGGGACGAUUAAACUGGAAAACGUGGAAGCAGAAAGUGUGCAAAGAAAGUUCCCUCGCUGGAUGUCGAUUUAAAUCGACACACGGAUAUCUAUAGGAGUUUAACGAACAACUAGGUAUAUUUGCCAGACAUAAACGAAAUGGCAAUCGUUAAUUAUUAUUACAUGGAAGAUCGGCGACGUCGCCGGUACCAUGGCGUUGCGGCCAGAUAUCUAUGCUACACCACUACUCUGUAAUAAUAGGCACUCGCUCAAAUAUUUCCUCGGUUAAAUAUUUGAUCUCGUUUUUAUUCCAUUUAUUAAAAGCCACGAGCGAAAGGCGCGGGGUCGUUGGGUGGUGGUGGUGCUGCUGCUACUGCUACUACUGCCUGCUGCUGGUGAAAAGAGGGUGUGUGUGUGUGUGUGUGUGUGUGAGAGCACGACGGACCGUACGCUCGCGAAAUCCACAUCUACGAUGAUUUAACGAGCCUGCAAAUAGAAAGACGACGACAACGACGACGACGACGACGACGACGACGUCAGUCGGGUCGCGAAAACUUCCAAGGACCGAUUAGAUCUUUGCGUUUGUAUAUUUUCUCAUCAGUUCCACGUUCAUAGCGAUUCCUAACAUCUUCUUUUUCAAUUUCAAUAAUCUCUAUAACUCUUGAAGGAAGAUUCGCUAGAUUCGUCAUUUUGUUCGUGUCAGUCAAUAUAAGCGACUUCUCCAAGUGAGUAUUAUUAGCAUCGGGUGAGCGUAAAUCCAAAGGUAAUCGAAACACGUAUCGCUUUCCGAUAUCGUAUUUGCAUGUUACAGGACUCGCGUGUUUUCCUUUCGUGGUCGACGCCGAAGAACGUAUGUAUAUAUACCUACAUGUUCUGGGAAAUCUAUGGUAAAUAGAACCAAGAGUUCGAUCAAAUUCUUCCCACGUUUGAUAUGAUUUCGGUGUCAGUGUAUAAAAAUCGGUAAUGAAUGCGAUUGGAAAAGUAUUGAAGAACGUGAUACUUAACGAGAGAGACAGAUAGAGAGGGUGGAUGAGAGACGGAUAUUGAAAGAUCGAUCUUCUCUUCGGAUAAAUGACCUUGGCGUUUUAUCAAGAUUAGCAUCGAUAGCGAAUUCUUUAACGUUAGAGCUUCGAUGGUCAGAGUCAGUCAAUAUAUUCAGGGUAGCGAAAGAGAAAAGCAACGGAGAGAAAAAGAGAAAGAUAGAAAGUCGCACUAGAACGAAGGGUGGAAUGAUCGUAAACGAGAGCAAGUGGGAGAGUAGAAAAGUA
rnacentral:lncRNA from 1 species